rnacentral:siRNA from 1 species
CAUCUCUUAACUUUCAAACCCGAU